UAGGGAAUCUUCGGCAAUGGACGAAAGUCUGACCGAGCAACGCCGCGUGAGUGAAGAAGGUUUUCGGAUCGUAAAACUCUGUUGUUAGAGAAGAACAAGGACGUUAGUAACUGAACGUCCCCUGACGGUAUCUAACCAGAAAGCCACGGCUAACUACGUGCCAGCAGCCGCGGUAAUACGUAGGUGGCAAGCGUUGUCCGGAUUUAUUGGGCGUAAAGCGAGCGCAGGCGGUUUCUUAAGUCUGAUGUGAAAGCCCCCGGCUCAACCGGGGAGGGUCAUUGGAAACUGGGAGACUUGAGUGCAGAAGAGGAGAGUGGAAUUCCAUGUGUAGCGGUGAAAUGCGUAGAUAUAUGGAGGAACACCAGUGGCGAAGGCGGCUCUCUGGUCUGUAUCUGACGCUGAGGCUCGAAAGCGUGGGGAGCAAACAGG
rnacentral:rRNA from 2 species